rnacentral:rRNA from 1 species
UCUCAAGCGUGAGGUAAGGGCAAUUCGUGGAUGCCUUGGCAUGUACAGGCGAUGAAGGACGUGGCACGCUGCGAUAAGCGUCGGUGAGGUGUGAGCAACCUUUGACCCGACGAUUUCCGAAUGGGGAAACCCACCUGAUCCGAUUAUCUCGACCAUGAGCAAUCAUGUUCGGGGUAAUUGGAGGAAGGUAUCACGUAGCUGAAUAAAAUAGGCUUCGUGAAGCGAACCCGGAGAACUGAAACAUCUCAGUACCCGGAGGAAAAGACAUCAACCGAGAUUCCGUUAGUAGUGGCGAGCGAACGCGGACCAGGCCAGUGCUUCUAAUUCAACUAGCAGAACGUUCUGGAAAGGACGGCCAUAGCGGGUGACAGCCCCGUAUGCGAAAGUGAUGUUAGAAGACUUGAGUAGGGCGGGACACGUGUAAUCCUGUCUGAAUAUAGGGGGACCACCCUCUAAGCCUAAAUACUCGUAUGCGACCGAUAGCGAACUAGUACCGUGAGGGAAAGGUGAAAAGCACCCCGAUGAGGGGAGUGAAACAGUACCUGAAACGGAUUGCCUACAAGCAGUUGGAGCCCUCUUGAGGGGUGACAGCGUACCUCUUGCAUAAUGGGUCUGUGACUUAAUGUACCAAGCAAGCUUAAGCCGAUAGGUGUAGGCGCAGCGAAAGCGAGUCUGAAUAGGGCGACUGAGUUUGAUGUAUUAGACCCGAAACCCGGCGAUCUAGGCAUGACCAGGAUGAAGGUGGGGUAACACCCACUGGAGGUCCGAACCGAUUAACGUUGAAAAGUUACCGGAUGAGUUGUGUUUAGGGGUGAAAGGCCAAUCAAGCCGGGAAAUAGCUGGUUCUCCGCGAAAACUAUUGAGGUAGUGCCUCGAGUGAAUACCGUAGGGGGUAGAGCACUGGAUGGGCUAGGGCGGCGCGAGCUGUACCAAACCUAACCAAACUCCGAAUACCUACGAGUACUGCUCGGGAGACAGACGGCGGGUGCUAAGGUCCGUCGUCAAAAGGGAAACAGCCCUGACCUACAGCUAAGGUCCCCAAGUCACGUCUAAGUGGGAAAGCAUGUGGGAAUCCCAAAACAACCAGGAGGUUGGCUUAGAAGCAGCCAUCCUUUAAAGAAAGCGUAACAGCUCACUGGUCUAAACAAGGGUUCCUGCGGCGAAGAUGUAACGGGGCUCAAGACGUGCACCGAAGCUUAGGGUGUGUCUUUGAACACGCGGUAGCGGAGCGUUCCGUAAGCCUGUGAAGCGAUCUGGUAAUGGGNNNNNNNNNNNNNNNNNNNNNNNGCCGGCCCCUAAGACGAGCCCGAAGGGGGUAGUCGAUGGGAACCACGUUAAUAUUCGUGGGCCUGGUGGUGUGUGACGGAUCUCGUGUGUUGUACGUCCUUAUCGGAUUGGACGUGCUUCGAAGAGGUUCCAGGAAAUAGCCCCACCGUAUAGACCGUACCCGAAACCGACACAGGUGGUCAGGUAGAGUAUACCAAGGCGCUUGAGAGAAGUGUCCUGAAGGAACUCGGCAAAUUGCCUCCGUACCUUCGGAAGAAGGAGGCCCUGCUUCUGGGCAACCAGUAGCAGGGGGCACAGGCCAGGGGGUAGCGACUGUUUAGCAAAAACACAGGGCUCUGCUAAGUCGGCUUCAAGACGACGUAUAGGGCCUGACGCCUGCCCGGUGCCUGAAGGUUAAGUGGAGGGGUGCAAGCUCCGAAAUGAAGCCCAGGUAAACGGCGGCCGUAACUAUAACGGUCCUAAGGUAGCGAAAUUCCUUGUCGGGUAAGUUCCGACCUGCACGAAUGGCGUAACGACUUCCCCACUGUCUCCAGGACAUGCUCAGCGAAAUUGAAUUCUCCGUGAAGAUGCGGAGUACCCGCGGUUAGACGGAAAGACCCCGUGCACCUUUACUGCAGCUUCAGAGUGGCAGUGGAGAACAACUGUGUAGAAUAGGUGGGAGGCUUUGAAGCGAUGGCGCCAGCUGUCGUGGAGCCACAAUGUGAAAUACCACCCUGUUGUUCUUUACUGUCUAACCACGCACCGUCAUCCGGUGCUGGGACCCUCUGUGGCGGGUAGUUUGACUGGGGCGGUCGCCUCCUAAAGAGUAACGGAGGCGCGCGAAGGUUGGCUCAGGCCGGUUGGAAACCGGCUGUUAGAGUGCAAUGGCAUAAGCCAGCCUGACUGCGAGACUGACAAGUCGAGCAGAG